rnacentral:lncRNA from 1 species
GGAAGAGAAGCCCUUCCAUAAUACCUAUGAAGAAUCAUGACACUGGCUGGAAGCAGAGUUUCCCUCAGUGCUUAGUACCCAUCAGCAAAGCACAGUAAUAAGGUUACACAAGUCAUUUGGUUAUGAACUCCACAUAAGUCCACCUGAUCACUGGAGAACAAACAAGAAUGAAGUAGCUGUAGUAAGUUGUGACCUCAGCAGCUUCCUCCUCUUCCUCAGGCCCAGCCUUUGCUUCUCUCUGUCUCUGGCUAUUGCUCCCUAUUUCAGCCAUCUGGGCAUUUUGUGA